AGUGAACGCUGGCGGUAGGCCUAACACAUGCGAGUCGAACGGCAGCACAGUAAGAGCUUGCUCUUACGGGUGGCGAGUGGCGGACGGGUGAGGAAUACAUCGGAAUCUACUUUUUCGUGGGGGAUAACGUAGGGAAACUUACGCUAAUACCGCAUACGACCUACGGGUGAAAGCAGGGGAUCUUCGGACCUUGCGCGAUUGAAUGAGCCGAUGUCGGAUUAGCUAGUUGGCGGGGUAAAGGCCCACCAAGGCGACGAUCCGUAGCUGGUCUGAGAGGAUGAUCGGCCACACUGGAACUGAGACACGGUCCAGACUCCUACGGGAGGCAGCAGUGGGGAAUAUUGGACAAUGGGCGCAAGCCUGAUCCAGCCAUACCGCGUGGGUGAAGAAGGCCUUCGGGUUGUAAAGCCCUUCUGUUGGGAAAGAAAAGCAGCAGGUUAAUACCCCGCUGUUCUGACGGUACCCAAAGAAUAAGCACCGGCUAACUUCGUG
rnacentral:rRNA from 1 species